CAAAAGGAAAUAAAGAAUUCCUCUGUAAUAUUUAAAAAUAUUUUUUUGAUAACUUGAUUGGGAGUACAUGCAUUUGGUGGAUGUGACAUUAACUUAAAUAUAAAUCAAUAUACAAUUAGAAGCCAGGUGUCAUUGCUUUGAAGAGUAUAAUACACUAUUAAUAGUUAGUAUGAGUGGAGACCAUCACAACUUGAAUCUUGAAUGGUUUGUAUAAAGUUUAUAUGUUUCUUUGAGUUCAUUUCUUGUUUUAAAUUGUUUUUUUUUUAAGUUUACUUUUAUUUAUUGAAGAGUUGUACGGUUGAUGUUUAUAAUUGCAGCACAGAAACUACUUUCGGCUAUUCUCUUGCUUUUUGCUAUGGCUUGUUUAAGUUGAAGUAUCUUCUCACAUACAAAGUAAAGUACUUGAAUUAGUUACUGAGUUGAUAUAAAUUUGUGUGGGGUUUAAUUAUUUAUUAUAUAUUUAUAUAUUAUUCUGAGUUUAAGCUGCUGAAUAGGUUGGCAUAGACUUACACUUAAUUGUUUUAGAUAGAAAAGUUUUAUAAUUUAUGUGUGGUUUGUUUGUUAUAUUUCUGCUACAUUCAUUUCAUGCUGAUAUAUUAUUGUAUAUUUUUCAUUCUGCAUUUCCAUUAGUGAGGCAUGACUCAUGCAUGUGAAGGAGUUGUUCAGCUUCUCUUCUCAUUGUUAGUGGCUAAAACUCUACAUGGAUAUUUAAGAGAACCAAGACAAUUAUAUAAAAGAACCAAGGCAACAAGAAAUUCUUCUUCAAGUUGUUGGGUAUUAUUUUCUUUCUUGCUUGUAAGAAUUAUGUACAGUGAUGUUUUUAUUUAUGUAUAUAGUUUUGUUGUGUUCUACCAUUGUAUGUAAUACAUAGAUUAAUUUUAAUUGUAAAAGUCAGUUUUU